rnacentral:rRNA from 1 species
CUUGGUCAUUUAGAGGAGUAAAAGUCGUAACAAGGUUUCCGUAGGUGAACCUGCGGAAGGAUCAUAAAGAAUGCCCCGUUUUUUGAAAUGGGUUCUAUUCCCAAACCGUGUAUAAUACCUUUGUUGCUUUGGCAGGCCGCCUUCGGGCGUUGGCUCACGCUGACGCGCCUGCCAGAGGACCCAAACUCGUUUGUUUAGUGAUGUCUGAGUACAUAUAAUAGUUAAAACUUUCAACAACGGAUCUCUUGGUUCUGGCAUCGAGAAGAACGCAGCGAAAUGCGAUAAGUAAUGUGAAUUGCAGAAUUCAGUGAUCAUCGAAUCUUUGAACGCACAUUGCGCCCCUUGGUAUUCCGAGGGGCUGCCUGUUCGAGCGUCAUUAUGACCACUCAAGCCUAGCUUGGUAUUGGGUUCGCGGUCUCGCGGCCCUUAAAAUCAGUGGCGGUGCCAUCUGGCUCUAGCGUAUUAAUUUAUCUCGCUAUUGGGUCCGGUGGUUGCUUGCCAACAACCCCAACUUCUAAGGUUGACCUCGGAUCAGGUAGGGAUACCCGCUGAACUAAGCAUAUCAAUAAGCGGAGGA